rnacentral:rRNA from 1 species
GACGAACGCUGGCGGCGUGCUUAACACAUGCAAGUCGAACGGAAAGGCCCUGCUUUUGUGGGGUGCUCGAGUGGCGAACGGGUGAGUAACACGUGAGUAACCUGCCCUUGACUUUGGGAUAACUUCAGGAAACUGGGGCUAAUACCGGAUAGGAGCUCCUGCUGCAUGGUGGGGGUUGGAAAGUUUCGGCGGUUGGGGAUGGACUCGCGGCUUAUCAGCUUGUUGGUGGGGUAGUGGCUUACCAAGGCUUUGACGGGUAGCCGGCCUGAGAGGGUGACCGGCAAAAGUGGGAAUGAGAAAGGCCCCGGACUCAGCCGGGAGCAAGAAGGGGGGAUUAUGGCAAAGGGGGGGGAGGCUGAAUGCAGCAGCGCGGGGGGGGGGAGGAGGGCUUUGGGUUGUGAACCCGUUUCCGCUGGUAAGGAAGGGGGGGGGAGGAAAGGGGGAAAAAAGCCCCGGCAAAACUCGGUC